rnacentral:rRNA from 1 species
CCUACGGGGGGCUGCAGUGGGGAAUAUUGGACAAUGGGGGCAACCCUGAUCCAGCCAUGCCGCGUGUGUGAAGAAGGCCCUCGGGUUGUAAAGCACUUUCAGUGAGGAAGAACGCCUGGUGGUUAAUACCCAUCAGGAAAGACAUCACUCACAGAAGAAGCACCGGCUAACUCCGUGCCAGCAGCCGCGGUAAUACGGAGGGUGCGAGCGUUAAUCGGAAUUACUGGGCGUAAAGCGCGCGUAGGUGGCUUGAUAAGCCGGUUGUGAAAGCCCCGGGCUCAUCCUGGGAACGGCAUCCGGAACUGUCAAGCUAGAGUGCAGGAGAGGAAGGUAGAAUUCCCGGUGUAGCGGUGAAAUGCGUAGAGAUCGGGAGGAAUACCAGUGGCGAAGGCGGCCUUCUGGACUGACACUGACACUGAGGUGCGAAAGCGUGGGUAGCAAACAGGAUUAGAUACCCUGGUAGUC